AACAGGAUUAGAUACCCUGGUAGUCCACGCCGUAAACGAUGUCGACUUGGAGGUUGUGCCCUUGAGGCGUGGCUUCCGGAGCUAACGCGUUAAGUCGACCGCCUGGGGAGUACGGCCGCAAGGUUAAAACUCAAAUGAAUUGACGGGGGCCCGCACAAGCGGUGGAGCAUGUGGUUUAAUUCGAUGCAACGCGAAGAACCUUACCUGGUCUUGACAUCCACGGAAGUUUUCAGAGAUGAGAAUGUGCCUUCGGGAACCGUGAGACAGGUGCUGCAUGGCUGUCGUCAGCUCGUGUUGUGAAAUGUUGGGUUAAGUCCCGCAACGAGCGCAACCCUUAUCCUUUGUUGCCAGCGGUCCGGCCGGGAACUCAAAGGAGACUGCCAGUGAUAAACUGGAGGAAGGUGGGGAUGACGUCAAGUCAUCAUGGCCCUUACGACCAGGGCUACACACGUGCUACAAUGGCGCAUACAAAGAGAAGCGACCUCGCGAGAGCAAGCGGACCUCAUAAAGUGCGUCGUAGUCCGGAUUGGAGUCUGCAACUCGAUUCCAUGAAGUCGGAAUCGCUAGUAAUCGUGGAUCAGAAUGCCACGGUGAAUACGUUCCCGGGCCUUGUACACACCGCCCGUCACACCAUGGGAG
rnacentral:rRNA from 1 species